ACAAACUGCAUCACAUUCAUCUG
rnacentral:siRNA from 1 species